CCUGUUGAAGCCUCUUGCAGUCAACCAGGUACGCAAACCCGUAGGCCAUGUUCUUCAAAGUAGCCUCGUACAUCUCCGAAUCCGACGGGGCCGUCGCAUCCGUUGAGAAAAACACCCUAUAUCCUUUCACAAACGCCGCACGAGCCGUCGUUUCGCAGCACAGAUUCGUCAUGACCCCCGUGAUUAUAACCUCCUCCACCUUUUUCUCCAUCAGCAUCUCAUGUAGUCGCGUGUUCUCGAACGCGCUGUACGUGUUUUUCUCAACCACCUCGUCGGGUUUCGAAAGCCGUCCGAUCUCGGGGAUCAGUUCGGAAUCAACGGUGCCGUCGAAGAUGAGGUCGUUGUCCCACCACUCACCGAGCAUGCCGUAGUCGGCGGGGGAUUUGUGGCAGUGGCGAGUGAAGAAAAU
rnacentral:lncRNA from 1 species